CAGCUGUCUUUCCGAGAGUGUUCUGCCAUGUUUUGGAGCUGUGAGGUGGUUCCACAGACCCACACAGCUGCCCACACACUGUCGUCCUCCCUCCCCAAGUUCUGGAAGAACCGGAGGCUGGUGUUGCAGUUCUUUGAAGUAAGGCCAAGCGUGUCAGCUGACUGA
rnacentral:lncRNA from 1 species